GAAAGUCUGGGCUUCGGCCCUCUCUCUUCUACACACUUGUGAACUUACACUGUUGCUUCGGCAGGUAUCUGGAUGGGGGUAAAAGCCCUGAAGGAGAGACCGAGAGGUGCCUGCCGAAGACAUUUAUCUACCCUUUUUAUAUUGUCUGAUUUUUGUUUUAAACAAAUUAUAAUAAAACUUUCAACAAUGGAUCUCUUGGCUCU
rnacentral:misc_RNA from 1 species